GCACCCGUAGCUCAGUUGGAUAGAGCGUCGGUCUUCGAAACCGCAGGUCGCAGGUUCGAGCCCUGCCGGGUGCA
rnacentral:tRNA from 1 species